rnacentral:rRNA from 1 species
AUGACUUAUGUCACAUCGGUUAGAUAUUCUGUGAGAUUCAAUGGAACCCUCUUGGAUUCAUUUGCAUCGUCUUGUGGCCUUGGGCAAGGUGAUCCACUCUCCCCUUUUUUUAUAUUCAUUAUUGACGGUCUUUCUGCAAUUCUAAGACGGAAUGUAGAAAUGGGAUUGAUUACUCCAAUAAAAAAUUCUCAGUGUGCACGCGGUAUUUCACAUCUUCUGUUUGCGGAUGACAUGCUUUUGUUCUUUGAGGUGUCACGGCCGCAAGAUGAACAAGUUAAAUCCCGCCUUGAUCUCUAUGCAAAUGCCACUGGUCAACUACUAAAUUAA